rnacentral:tRNA from 1 species
GUGGGUAUAGCUCAGUGGUAGAGCAUGUGCCGAGCAUGCAUGAGGUCCUGAGUUCAAUCCCCAGGACCUCCA